ACCAUUGGAAACGGUGGCUAAUACCGGAUGUGCAGAGAUGUGAAAGGCUUGCUGCCUAGAGAUGAGCUCGCGUCUGAUUAGCUAGUUGGUAGUGUAAGAGACUACCAAGGCGACGAUCAGUAGCUGGUCUGAGAGGAUGAUCAGCCACACUGGGACUGAGACACGGCCCAGACUCCUACGGGAGGCAGCAGUGGGGAAUUUUCCGCAAUGGGCGAAAGCCUGACGGAGCAAUACCGCGUGAGGGAGGAAGGCUCUUGGGUUGUAAACCUCUUUUCUCAGGGAAUAAGAAAGUGAAGGUACUUGAGGAAUAAGCAUCGGCUAACUCCGUGCCAGCAGCCGCGGUAAUACGGAGGAUGCAAGCGUUAUCCGGAAUGAUUGGGCGUAAAGCGUCCGCAGGUGGCAUUGUGUGUCUGCUGUUAAAGAGUGAGGCUUAACCUCAUAAAAGCAGUGGAAACUACAAAGCUAGAGUGCGUUCGGGGCAGAAGGAAUUCCUGGUGUAGCGGUGAAUUUCUUAGAGAUCAGGAAGAACACCGGUGGCGAAGGCGUUCUGCUAGGCCGCAACUGACAGUGAGGACA
rnacentral:rRNA from 1 species